GCAUAUCAAUAAGCGGAGGAAAAGAAACUAACAAGGAUUCCCCUAGUAACUGCGAGUGAAGCGGGAAAAGCUCAAAUUUAAAAUCUGGCGGUCUUUGGCCGUCCGAGUUGUAGUCUGGAGAAGUGCUUUCCGCGCUGGACCGUGUACAAGUCUCUUGGAACAGAGCGUCAUAGAGGGUGAGAAUCCCGUCUUUGACACGGACUACCAGUGCUUUGUGAUGCGCUCUCAAAGAGUCGAGUUGUUUGGGAAUGCAGCUCAAAAUGGGUGGUGAAUUCCAUCUAAAGCUAAAUAUUGGCGAGAGACCGAUAGCGAACAAGUACCGUGAGGGAAAGAUGAAAAGCACUUUGGAAAGAGAGUUAAACAGUACGUGAAAUUGCUGAAAGGGAAACGCUUGAAGUCAGUCGCGUUGUCCAGAACUCAGCCUUGCUUCGGCUUGGUGCAUUUUCUGGGCGACGGGCCAGCAUCGAUUUUGACCGUCGGAAAAGGGUUGAAGGAAUGUGGCACCUUCGGGUGUGUUAUAGCCUUCAGCCGCAUACGACGGUUGGGAUCGAGGAACGCAGCGCGCCUUAUGGCUGGGGUUCGCCCACAUUCGCGCUUAGGAUGCUGGCAUAAUGGCUUUAAACGACCCGUCUUGAAACACGGACC
rnacentral:rRNA from 1 species